GUGGAAAACAUGACGUUGGGCGUGACGACAAAAUAUGAAACAACAACAUGCAACAUUACAGUACCAUCACCUCCAAGAUGCGCUGUGGUACCGCUAAAACAAAACGUGUCAACACAGGCUUAUUAUUACAGAGAAGAAAAGAAAAACAAAGCUGUCCAAGUCUGGCCAAUCCGGAAGAAUGUCGUAGUCAAUACUUCCUUUACGGAGGACAUACCACCGAAGGAAGUGAACCGUUUACACUCUGUUGCGGUGUACAUGGCCAGGAAGUACGUGGUCUUUGAAGAAUGCCUCCUUCCAUUGUUCAAGACUUGUCCGGUCUGUCGCAGCUCCUGCAGCAUCGACAAGUUCAUCCAAGAUACCCUGCUCACCAUCAACCAGUUCUGCAACCACUGUGACCACCGGAGCCAAUGGAAGAGCCAGCCCUUUAACCUCCCAGCUAGAUACCUGUCCUCUUCAGCAGCAUCGACUGGCACAACUGAUGCUUCGAUUGGCACCACAACUGGCACCACUACUGGCACAUCCACUGACGCUCUGACUGACUCCUCAACUGGCCCAACUUGCACCUUCAAUUCUCAGACCCUGAAGACAGCGGAGGACGGUGAUCUUCUGUUGGAGAAUUACGAUGGCGAUAUUUUCAACAAGGGUCUGGAGGACAUUCAGACCCUGGUGUUUGAGACAACCUUUUGUGUGCAUGAUGACGACAAAGCCAUGAAGAAGAUAUGUCAACGUCAGUCCUUGGAGGAGGAACAGGAAGAGGAGGCUAGGGAGGAAGAGGAGGCUAGGGAGGAAGAGGAGGCUAGGGGGGAGGAGGAGGGCUCCGAUGUGGAGUGGCAACGUGAGGUUGAGUUAAGUCCUCUUCUAGCCUCAGAUUCAGAAUGGGAUUCCCGGGUGCUCUGCCCCGAUUGUGGCACGUUUAUUAAAGGCUCCAAGGCUCACCUCUGCGAGCAUGCCAAGCCGUUUGUCUGCCAGGACUGUGGCAAGCGGUUUGUUAACGAGACCACUCAACAUUCACCAAAGAAUCCACAAGCCAGGCUAUGUGCACGGGUGCAAGUACUGCCUCAAGCCAUUCCAGAGCAGGCCGGAGAAGCUGAGGCAUGA
rnacentral:lncRNA from 8 species